CAACGAUUUUCUGCUGUAACACAUACGCGCGAAGUCCUCUUUAUUCUCCAAGUUAGUGAUUCUCCUUGACAACACGAACGUUUGUUUUCUGCCUCCCUAGAAACCGCUGAUGGCACGUAUGGUAACGUUGCUGAUGAAUCUCUUAAGCCAAUAUAGCAACCUACAUAAUAGCCAAGCUAAACAACGCGCCUGAACUCUGAAUGUUUUUCUGGAGUACUGUUGCGUUCUUGUGGAUGUAACGGGAGUUUCGAACGCUCUCAGUGAACUGCUCAGCUGUAUUUAGGGAAAUCCACGCGUUCAUGGAGGCGGCGCUUAACGUUACUACAGUUCACUAAAGAGCUAGACUGUUUCAGCCCAGCAGUCAGUCUACCUUUGACUCAACGUUAAACAGUUGAUUUCGAUACGAGUAAGUUCAUUCUAUUAUGGGUCGUUUUCGGAAUUGUUCCGUCCAGUGAUUUCUAUCCAUCCUGGCUGCCAUAUGAAAACUCUUCAUCGACAGACUGUAGCGUUCCCGCUGUGCUGCCCCUGUAUUGGUUUUAAGGUUCUUCUGGACAACCUCAGUCCUCUCAGAAAUGCUGAACCAAAGCACAUACAUUGAGAAGGACUUCCAAGCACCAGGUUGAAAAACAACUGCAGCCAUCUCCCUGUCUUCAUCUACCUCUGCCUUCAAACAUCCAAAGUCCAGUCUCAAAAGAAUAUGGCGUUUUUAGUGAAAAAGAAGAAGUUCAAGUUUCAGAUACACUUCACCCUGGAGGAGCUCACGGCUGUGCCGUUUGUGAACGGGAUGCUUUUCUGCAAAAUCAGGCUGUUGGAUGGUGGAGACUUUUCCAUUUCUUCAUCCAG